UUAAUUAAAACCAAAAAGAGGUAUAUUAAUGUUAAUAAUAUCAUUGAGAUUUAAACUCUAAUUAAA
rnacentral:tRNA from 1 species